GCCGAACUGCAGUCCUUUUCGGACUCGCGGAAUGUGGCGUUUGGGAGAGUCUUCUCGCGGUGUGGACGGCCAGUCAAAGUCCAACUUGACAGUGGCCAUGGCCCGUAGAGGGUGAUAGGCCCGUAAGGCGGCUGUCCUGCUGCGCUGACUUUUCCCUAGAGUCGGGUUGCUUGGGAGUGCAGCCCAAAGUGCGAGGUAAACUCCUCGUAAGGCUAAAUAUGACCCCGAGACCGAUAGCAAACAAGUACCGUGAGGGAAGAUUGAAAAGAACUUUGAAGAGAGAGUUCAAGAGUACGUGAAACUGUGUGGUGGUAAACGGAGGGGUUCUCGAAGUUCCUGAGGGGGACUCAACCUUGGGGGCGGCCAGUGGUGGCGUGUGUGAUUAGCAAUGACACUGCGUUUCUACUAAGCCGGCUUCCGGACGCAUUUUCCCCUCAGUUUACGGCAGGAACUGUUAGGAGCGGACCAAAGGCCCGAGGUGAAGUUGUCGGUUAUGCUGGCAGCUCUUGGUGUCCUGGCUUCGCACCUGACGGGUACUUGAGCAAACUUGUAUAGCGAGCGGUUUUUACCGCGGUUUGCAUUUCUCUGCCGAGUAGGUCGGCGGCCCCUCCGACCCGUCUUGAAACACGGACC
rnacentral:rRNA from 1 species